rnacentral:rRNA from 1 species
AUUGAACGCUGGCGGCAUGCCUUACACAUGCAAGUCGAACGGCAGCACGGGAGCAAUCCUGGUGGCGAGUGGCGAACGGGUGAGUAAUAUAUCGGAACGUGCCCAGUCGUGGGGGAUAACGCAGCGAAAGCUGUGCUAAUACCGCAUACGAUCUAAGGAUGAAAGCGGGGGAUCGCAAGACCUCGCGCGAUUGGAGCGGCCGAUAUCAGAUUAGCUAGUUAGUGGGGUAAAGGCCCACCAAGGCGACGAUCUGUAGCUGGUCUGAGAGGACGACCAGCCACACUGGAACUGAGACACGGUCCAGACUCCUACGGGAGGCAGCAGUGGGGAAUUUUGGACAAUGGGCGCAAGCCUGAUCCAGCAAUGCCGCGUGCAGGAUGAAGGCCUUCGGGUUGUAAAUUGCUUUUGUACGGAACGAAACGGCCCUUUCUAAUACAGGGGGCUAAUGACGGUACCGUAAGAAUAAGCACCGGCUAACUACGUGCCAGCCGCCGCCGUAA